UACAGAGGGUGCAAGCGUUACUCGGAAUUACUGGGCGUAAAGCGUGCGUAGGCGGUUAUUUAAGUCGGGUGUGAAAGCCCCGGGCUCAACCUGGGAAUUGCAUUCGAGACUGAAUAGCUAGGGUGCGGAAGAGGGAAGCGGAAUUUCCGGUGUAGCGGUGAAAUGCGUAGAUAUCGGAAGGAACACCAGUGGCGAAAGCGGCUUCCUGGUCCAGCACCGACGUUCAGGCACGAAAGCGUGGGGAGCAAACAGG
rnacentral:rRNA from 1 species